rnacentral:rRNA from 1 species
CCUACGGGAGGCAGCAGUGGGGAAUAUUGGGCAAUGGGCGAAAGCCUGACCCAGCGACGCCGCGUGAGGGACGAAGGCCUUCGGGUUGUAAACCUCUUUCAGCAGGGAAGAAGCGAAAGUGACGGUACCUGCAGAAGAAGCACCGGCUAACUACGUGCCAGCAGCCGCGGUAAUACGUAGGGUGCAAGCGUUGUCCGGAAUUAUUGGGCGUAAAGAGCUCGUAGGUGGUUUGCCACGUCGGAUGUGAAAACCUGAGGCUUAACCUCAGGCCUGCAUUCGAUACGGGCAGACUAGAGUGUGGUAGGGGAGACUGGAAUUCCUGGUGUAGCGGUGAAAUGCGCAGAUAUCAGGAGGAACACCGGUGGCGAAGGCGGGUCUCUGGGCCAUAACUGACACUGAGGAGCGAAAGCGUGGGGAGCAAACAGGAUUAGAUACCCUGGUAGUCCACGCCGUAAACGGUGGCACUAGAUGUGGGGACCUUCCGACGGUCUCUGCGUCGCAGCUAACGCAUUAAGUGCCCGCUGGGGAGUACGGCCGCAAGGCUAAAACGUCAAAGGAAUUGGACGG